ACCGGAGUGGACGCAUCACUGGUGUUCGGGUUGUCAUGCCAAUGGCACUGCCCGGUAGCUAAAUGCGGAAGAGAUAAGUGCUGAAAGCAUCUAAGCACGAAACUUGCCCCGAGAUGAGUUCUCCCUGACCCUUUAAGGGUCCUGAAGGAACGUUGAAGACGACGACGUUGAUAGGCCGGGUGUGUAAGCGCAGCGAUGCGUUGAGCUAACCGGUACUAAUGAACCGUGAGGCUUAACCUUACAACGCCGAAGCUGUU
rnacentral:rRNA from 1 species